rnacentral:tRNA from 6 species
GCUUCACUAGCUCAGUUGGCAGAGCGUCAGUCUCAUAAUCUGAAGGUCGACAGUUCGAACCUGCCGUGGAGCA